rnacentral:rRNA from 1 species
UGGUCAAGUUAUUAAGGGUGCAGGGCGGAUGCCUUGGCACUAGGAGCCGAUGAAGGACGUGAUAAGCUGCGAUAAGCUUCGGGGAGUUGCACGUAAACUUUGAUCCGAAGAUUUCCGAAUGAGGAAACUCACUUAGAGUAAUGUCUAAGUAUCAUUAAGUGAAUACAUAGCUUAAUGAGGGGAACUCAGGGAACUGAAACAUCUAAGUACCUGAAGGAAGAGA